UGCCAACACAACAUUCACACACACUUUAUAAUUGGGUACCCAAAGAUAUCAAUGUAUAUAACUAAGCAUGCAUUAGCAAUGAGAAUGAUAGAAUGCUCAUUUUACAGAUGUUUUUAUUGGUGAUGUGGAUAGAAACCUAAUGAUUUGGUCACUCUAUAAAGCAAAUGCUUCUUUUGUAGAAAAUGGAACACAGUAGAGGAGAUUUAUGUCACUCAAAGAAGGGCUUCCAGGUUUUUCACCUC
rnacentral:lncRNA from 1 species